UACGAAGGGGGCUAGCGUUGCUCGGAAUCACUGGGCGUAAAGGGUGCGUAGGUGGGUCUUUAAGUCAGGGUGAAAUCCUGGAGCUCAACUCCAGAACUGCCUUUGAUACUGAAGAUCUUGAGUUCGGGAGAGGUGAGUGGAACUGCGAGUGUAGAGGUGAAAUUCGUAGAUAUUCGCAAGAACACCAGUGGCGAAGGCGGCUCACUGGCCCGGAACUGACGCUGAGGUGCGAAAGCGUGGGGAGCAAACAGGG
rnacentral:rRNA from 1 species